UACAGAGGGGGCAAGCGUUGUUCGGAAUUACUGGGCGUAAAGGGCGCGUAGGCGGCCUGCUAAGUCGAACGUGAAAUCCCCGAGCUCAACUCGGGAACUGCGUCCGAUACUGGCAGGCUUGAAUCCGGGAGAGGGAUGCGGAAUUCCAGGUGUAGCGGUGAAAUGCGUAGAUAUCUGGAGGAACACCGGUGGCGAAGGCGGCAUCCUGGACCAUGACUGACGCUGAGGAGCGAAAGCCAGGGGAGCAAACGGG
rnacentral:rRNA from 1 species